GGCUUUGUAAACGCACGUUUUGGGUGUUUGAAAGGGUUAGGGGUGUGAGUGCUGCCUAAAAUAAACAGCUACCCUGGCGGGCAUCGGCGGCAGAGCUUCAUCUGGCACUGAGUACUCUGGGGACCCAACUUUUCUCUUGGAGAGCUGCAUGAGUGUGCUCCAUGCACAGGACCAAAGAGACUGUGAUCGCUUAGCUUGAGCGCUGAAGAAAUGAAGCCCACCUUGGGCUCGCCCAGGCGGCCCUGAUGCAAGCCCGGAGCGAGCCCGCCUGGUGUCUGCGCAGGCGGGAAGGGAUCCGGUUAGCCUCAUGGACCACAGCAGGACGGGUCCUCUCAAGUCAGUCUCAAGCUGUUGUCUGAAAUUCCAAACUUGAGAAAUCUCCACCGGGUGAAAGCGUGAUUUUUGAAAUCUGAACACAGCGGAGUGGAGGACAAUCGGAGGCGCGUCCCAGGAAGCAUGUGGAAGCAACGUCCGAAAGUGUAAACAGCCAGGACUUUAAAGCCAGGAAGUUAGUGUCCCUACCGGCGGCAGAAUGUGGGAACACAUUAAAAAGCAAAUCUCUAGAGACUACACACACCUGGCAUUCUGGGAAAAGUCGGGGCGGCUUUGCCAAAGAGUCUUGGAAAUGCGGAGUUUGUGGGCCCCCCAAGUUCGUGGCGGUGCUCUGGUCCCAGAAGUUUGGAGGACGGGAAAGACUGUCCACAGCUCAGGUAUAUCUUCUGGCAACCUUAAUUGGGCGCAGAAGGGGAGGAGGGCCCGCCUGAUUGCUUGCCUCCCCACAGCUAAUCCUCUUAGCAGCUGCAUUUCCGCGCUCCGCAGUUAAAAUGACCCUCCCAGCUAGACCUUUACCCCAGGAUGAGAAGGGGCUUCAAGGGUUUGCAAGCUGGGCUUUAAGCCGUCUGCAGAUAGCCCGGCGGGACGUCUGGCAGGGGGCGGGGAGAGCCCUCUUCCCCUAACUGCUUAGUCUUCCGCACACCUAGGAUUCAGUGAGGGCCUGGGGUGCCCUUCCCCGUCCGGGAUUAAUAACUAAAACCGUGAUGCACCGCUGUCCAGAUGCUGUUUGCAGAACUGCAGUGUACCAGACAAAUGGAAUACUUCUUUGUGGCUGCCGCGCCCAAAUCCUGAGUCCUGGAUGAAAUUUAGCUGAGGGUAAGGCGAGCGAGGACAUCCACGGAAAACCGUAAAUGGGCGCAAUAGGGUGCGCUAACAUCUCGCCGCUGCGGUGCUUAAGGGACCCGGAACUCUCGAAUGGCCACGGGGGUUCCCAUGGCGCUUACGUGGGUCUACGAACUGGUCGCCUAAAGUAAACCCAGGAAAAGAACUAAAUGACUAAGGGCCAGGGGGGAGGAUAGGAAGCUAGGAUUAAGCCUGCAGAGCACAAUCUUGCAUCUCCAGGGCAAACACUCCUUCCCCAACCCCAGCCAACACCCACUGUCCACACUUCCUAGUGGGGCGAGGAAGUAGAUCCUGUUCAUCUGUGGGGUUGGGGAAAUAAACAGAAGCACUCCCUGCUCACCACUCAACGAUAUCAGUAGCUAGUUAAAAGAUUAUAGAGCCUUCUGUGGAGGGGGAAGGGGUGUGUGUGUGUGUGUGUGUGUGUGUAUGUGAGAGAGAGAGAGAGAGAGAGAGAGAGAGA